CCCGCUGAACUUAAGCAUAUUAAUAAGCGGAGGAAAAGAAACUAACAAGGAUUCCCCUAGUAACGGCGAGUGAAGCGGGAAAAGCUCAUAAUGAAAAUCGACAAGCCAAGCGGUUUGUCGAGUUGUAAAUUGAAGACGCAUUGCCAGUGGCGACCCAGGUAUAAGUCUUUUGGAAUAAGGCAUCAUAGAGGGUGAGAAUCCCGUGUAUGACUUGGAGAUUCGCCGCAUACGGCAUGCGUUCAUCGAGUCGAGUUGUUUGGGACUUGCAGCUCCAAUUGGGUGGUAAAUUUCAUCUAAAGCUAAAUACAUGCGAGAGACCGAUAGCGAACAAGUACCGUGAGGGAAAGAUGAAAAGAACUUUGAAAAGAGAGUUAAAAAGUACUUGAAAUUGUUAAGAAGGAAGCGAUGGCAACCAGUCGACGAAUGCUACACAGUAUUAUAUAAGCGUGUCCCGCGGCUUUUGAUCGGGGUAGCCCAGUUCGCUUUUCCUUUAGGGGAAAUCAGGCGUCUGGGUCAAGCAAACCUUGUUUUACUACCCAAUCUAUUGCCAGGUAGCGUGUCUGUAGUACUUUGUGUGGGUUAGCAUCAAUUCGUUUUGUGGAAGACCGACCUCGAGAAGGUGGAGUGCGUCUUGCCCUGCAGGAUGAUACACUUGUUUAGCUCGGAGUCUACCUCCACGAAAUGGAUUGAGGUGGCUAAAAGCCAAAUAAUGCGCAGGGGAUUCGUCCCUUUACGCUUCGCCCUUUCUCUAUCGAUCCCUCAGUUUGAGACAGCAAAAGCUUGUGUUAGGCUGAGCCGGGUCGGUACCUAGGGGGGGACAGCAGUCGCGCAUUUGUGAUGCUGACGAAAUGGUUUUCAUCGACCCGUCUUGAAACACGG
rnacentral:rRNA from 1 species